CCUUCGCCUAAGUGGCUGGAGAGGAAUGGUUCUCUGGUUUUGUCUUGUCUGUGCAUCUACGUCGAAUGUGGUUUCCCCUACUCAUCUGUCAUGUUUGUUGCGCCGUUCGCCUCUGUUGUGGAUUUUUACUCAGUGCUUGUCGGUAUUUCUUACAAUAGACAUCUUCCGCUAAUGGCUGCUGUCUCCUGUUCUUCCAUCUUGCUUGGGAUUUUUUUAGUGCACCGGAUUUUGUGCCUUCUUUACUGACUCUGAAAUCUUUCAGUUGUUCUAGCAGCGUGGACCAUGGCCUUUUCCAUUUAUUAUUUACGAACCACUGCCAGGACUGUGCUCUGCUCUCAACUGUUUUGCAUCUGAGCUAUUUUGGUGGCCGCACACCGAAAAGAGGCACCGUACCGUCUAAUGAAGCAUCUGCUUGCUCCAAAACUAUUUUAUACAGCUUGGAAGGGAGGAAGGAGAAACGAAGAUUUAACACCUUGCAACAUUUAAAAGCCACAAUUUAUGAGUCCAUAUUGAAACGAUACAGUGAUGUCACAAUGGCCGCUUUGGACAAGUAUACAAGGGAAUGGCUGGCCAUAUCAGGUGACUGUGAUGGAGGCUGCAAGUGGAGGGAGGAAAACAAAGCAACAAAGUGUUGUCGAACAACUUCAUCUUGAUGUCACUUUGGGAGGGUGCUUGUAUAUAUUAUGUGUAUUCGUAUGAGUUUUUAUACUUGGGUG
rnacentral:misc_RNA from 1 species